AGGACGAACGCUGGCGGCGUGCUUAACACAUGCAAGUCGAGCGGAAAGGCCCUUCGGGGUACUCGAGCGGCGAACGGGUGAGUAACACGUGAGCAACCUGCCCUUAGCUCCGGGAUAGCUCCGGGAAACCGGAAUUAAUACCGGAUACGACCACGGCCGACAUCUGCUGUGGUGGAAAGGAUUCCGGCUAAGGAUGGGCUCGCGGCCUAUCAGCUAGUUGGUGGAGUAACGGCCCACCAAGGCGACGACGGGUAGCCGGCCUGAGAGGGCGACCGGCCACACUGGGACUGAGACACGGCCCAGACUACUACGGGAGGCAGCAGUGGGGAAUAUUGCGCAAUGGGCGAAAGCCUGACGCAGCGACGCCGCGUGGGGGAUGAAGGCCUUCGGGUUGUAAACCGCUUUCAGCAGGGACGAAAUUGACGGUACCUGCAGAAGAAGCCCGGCCAACUACGCGCCAGCAGCCGC
rnacentral:rRNA from 1 species